UUAGGAAUCUUGCGCAAUGGACGAAAGUCUGACGCAGCGACGCCGCGUGUGUGAAGAAGGCCUUCGGGUUGUAAAGCACUGUCGCUUGGGACGAAUGUAGCGGAGGGGAAAGUUCUCCGUUAUUGACUGUACCGAGAAAGGAAGCACCGGCUAACUCUGUGCCAGCAGCCGCGGUAAUACAGAGGGUGCAAGCGUUGUUCGGAUUUAUUGGGCGUAAAGCGCGUGUAGGCGGUAUUGUAAGUCUGAUGUGAAAUCCUGGGGCUCAACCCCAGAACGGCAUUGGAUACUGCUUUACUAGAGUGUCGGAGAGGGUACUGGAAUUCCUGGUGUAGAGGUGAAAUUCGUAGAUAUCAGGAAGAACACCGGAGGCGAAGGCGGGUACCUGGACGAUUACUGACGCUAAGACGCGAAAGCGUGGGGAGCAAACAGG
rnacentral:rRNA from 1 species